CCCCCCACGAAAUCACAUUUUGUCCCCCCAGAAAAAGUCCCUUUUUCCUAAAUUUAUACAAACAAACCAGCGAAGAAUAACAAAUACGCAAACAGAAAGUAAGUUUUAGGCUUUAUCUUUUGUUUUUUGGGCGUUUUUCCUUCUUUUAUUUCAAUUACAAUUUACAAGUAUAGCUAGCGUAAAUUUUAGAGCAAAUUUGGAUGCUCAGAAUGCAGGAAAUGGCAUUUCCGGGCUUAAAAUAGGCUUCAAAUGUCAAAAAUUUUCUGCGUCAGUGGUAUGCCCCCACACACAUAGCCUUCGGCCAUUGCUAUCCCCUUCUAAUAAGUAAUGAUAAAUUAUGGUUAAUAUUUUUUUAAACCUUUUGUUCGUUUUUCUACUUCUUUUAUUUUAAAUACAAGUAUACGAUUAGCAUAAAUUUUAGAGCAAAUUUGGACGCUCGAAAUGCAGGAAAUUGCAUUUCCGGGCUUCAAAUUUCAAAAAUUUUCUGGGGGAGUAUGCCCCCAGACCCCCAUUCAUGCAUGGUAUGUCGGCCACACACAUGGCCUUCCGCCAUUGCUAUACCCCUAAUUAAUAUAUUAUCUCACAGAAAGGUCCCUUUUCAAGAAAUGCCCUGCUUGCGUCCUUCCUCCGCCCCGCCCCCAAAUCACCUAGUUCCAGUCUUUUCAUGUGAAAAAGCGCUGAAUAUUAAAAAUAUAUAAAUAAAAAUAGAAGGCCUAGGUCUAGGCUGGGCCGUUGAGAAAGAUCGUGAC